rnacentral:rRNA from 1 species
UUCAUGAAGCCGGAAUUGCUAGUAAUGGCAGGUCAGCAUACUGCCGUGAAUACGUUCCCGGGCCUUGUAUACACCGCCCGUCACACCAUGAGAGUUGGGAAUACCCGAAGCCUGUGAGCUAACUUAUAGAGGCAGCAGUCGAAGGUAGAAUCAAUGAUUGGGGUGAAGUCGUAACAAGGUAUC